UUUGGUUGUUUGUCCUGAAGGAGAAUUAAAAUGUAAAUUGCAAUUGUGUUUGUGCGUGUGUAGCGUGUACAUUCUUUUGAUUUGAUCAGUCUUCUUUUCCUUUAGGUGUUGGCUAAGAGAAAAAAAUGGCUUCCAGUGGAGUUUUGUUGGUCCCGUUGUCUUUAUCCUUGUGUGCAAUGUCAUCUUCUUCACUGUCAUCUUCAUCGGCUUCAGCAGCAUCAUAUCAAAGGCAAACACUGACAUCUCAAAGAUUAAACAAAUGAAGAUUCUUAUCAUGAAAACUGCGGUCCAGUUCUUCAUCCUGGGUUGCCCCUGGAUACUCGGUUUCUUCGUGAAAAGCAGCGACAUACUGAACAUUCUCUUCCUUUUCCUCAACUCCCAGCAAGGAACCUUCCUGUUUCUGGUCCACUGUGUUCUCAAUGAGGGGGUGAGUCAGGGUUGUGAAUGCCUUUUGACCCAGGUUGCCCCAGGUUGCCAGUGCUUAUGUGGAUCAAACGUGCCAGGUGUGUGUGUGUGUGUGUGUGUGUGUGUGUGUGUGUGUGUGUGUGUGUGUGUGUUUGUUGCGUUUGUGUGUGUGUGUUACCUGUCCCGUAAAACCUUGACUAUGUUUGUUCUUCACUGUGAGUAUGGCUGUCUGACUACUCAACUCAUUAUUACUAGAACAA
rnacentral:lncRNA from 1 species